rnacentral:lncRNA from 1 species
GAUUUUCACUUGUGAUAACAAAGGUUCAAAGAUAAAAUUGAUUAUACAGGGCCAGAAGUUUCAUGCAACGAUUACUACACUGAAAAAUCAACCUGUUGCUUACACUCUCAAAAAGUGGAGACCAUACUUACUUGAUCAACGGGUUGUGAUGCGUUGCAGAUAGUCUAUGGCUAAAGUGCCGAAGAGAAGCUCCCUGAGAUUGAUGCUGCUCAGCCUUGAGGACAAGGCUGAUUUGAAGAGGGAGGAACUGUUAGGACCCUUUUUCUAAGCUUUUGAAUAAUGUUUGUUGAGUCUGUUUAGUCCAAUUGUUUAUUGAGUCGGUUUGGUUCAAUUAGAGUCAAGUAGAGGUUUAUUUAAUAUUUAU